UGCAGAUGAUGUCUUUUCACCAUGGUCUUCAGGUGCUCACCGUGGGCUCUGUGAAAGCCUCUUGGCAAAGCUGAUGCUGGAAG